CAAAAACAGCGUCACUUGCAGUGGAAGAUCCCCCAUAUUUUAUUUCGAUUUAUCUGCUCGGCAAUAAAGAUACGUUCAGAUAACCCGAGAGAGCAGAUAAAGAUUUACAACGCUCUGGGUGGCGAAGUGUCGACAAUCUAUCAUCACCGGACCAAAUGGUUCCUUAUAAAUCUUGGUAGCCAACAACGGCAUCAACAGAGCACGUGAUUUUCCGGAGCUCAGCACUGCAAAUAUUUAUGGUCUUGUCAGAUUAUAAAUGGCUAAGCUCAUAUGUCACAAAAACAUCAUACCGUAAGACAACUAAGUAUAUCCAUCUUUAGAUUAGGAUAUUUUUGGUUGAAAUGUUUAAUGUCUUUUUUUAGAGUGCCAAUCAGUCACUAGACUUUGACGUGAUAGUCAUACGCAUAGAUCCGAUAGGACUAGAACAUAAACCCCUGACAAUAGACCCCAUUUAGAGACGCUUCCAUUAUACUCCCAGUAAUAUAAUGAAGAGGCCUAGCUCUAUAGCCUAUAAAAAGAUCUGAAUAAGUGGCAUUGAGGGGUCGCCGACAGCAGAGUCCCUCAGAACGAUAAACUCUUUCCAAUGUUUGCCGAAUGGCAGCCAAAAGUCAGACAAGUCCAAAAAACACGCAUACGCAAUGUGUGCCGCCGAGGGUACCCCUUGAUGAUUUUUAUCAAUUCCGAGGAAGACAAACAACGGCAGCGCAAUUCCAUCUGCAGACAUCGGGCGAGAUAACUACGAGAUAGAGAUAAUGCCGACCAGCAGCGGCUUCACGUGCCAGUUCCGCCGUAAAUCAGCCCAUCGACACGGGAUCCGGCGGAGGAUUCCGGACAAGAUUCCCGGACAAACAAAUGAUCGUUUAAAUGUGUUUAUGGUGCGGGGCCCUUAGUUCGUAAAUGCUUUGCACGUUUUUAUGGAUUAAUCUCGGCGGAGCUGUAAUUUUAAUUGAGACAAACGUUUUGCUAUUGCAAGCAGCAAACUUAAUGGCUUCGGGCUGGGUUUUUAGACUAAGAGUUAUCCUGUAGUGGAACUUUUGUAAUUGUUUUAUAUAUUUUAAAAAUAUCUCAUCUGAAGCUUAGUUUAAAUUAUAUAUUUGUUCAAUAUUUAAAAAU